rnacentral:rRNA from 1 species
GAUGAACGCUAGCUACAGGCUUAACACAUGCAAGUCGAGGGGCAGCGUGGUGGUAGCUUGCUACCACUGAUGGCGACCGGCGCACGGGUGAGUAACACGUAUCCAACCUGCCCAUGACUCAGGGAUAGCCCUCUGAAAGGAGGAUUAAUACCUGAUGCGGUUGAUGGGGGACAUCCCCUGUCAAUCAAAGAUUCAUCGGUCAUGGAUGGGGAUGCGUCUGAUUAGGCAGUCGGCGGGGUAACGGCCCACCGAGCCAUCGAUCAGUAGGGGUUCUGAGAGGAAGGUCCCCCACAUAGGAACUGAGACACGGUCCUAACUCCUACGGGAGGCAGCAGUGAGGAAUAUUGGUCAAUGGUCGAGAGACUGAACCAGCCAAGUAGCGUGAAGGAUGACUGCCCUAUGGGUUGUAAACUUCUUUUAUGAGGGAAUAAAGUGUGCCACGCGUGGCAUUUUGCAUGUACCUCAUGAAUAAGCAUCGGCUAAUUCCGUGCCAGCCGCCGCCGUAAUAC